UACGGAGGGGACUAGCGUUGUUCGGAAUUACUGGGCGUAAAAGCGCACGUAGGCGGAUUUGUAAGUCAGGGGGUGAAAUCCCGGGGCUCAACCUCGGAACUGCCUUUGAUACUGCAAAUCUCGAGUCCGGAAGAGGUGAGUGGAAUUCCUAGUGUAGAGGUGAAAAUUCGUAGAUAUUAGGAAGAACACCAGUGGCGAAGGCGGCUCACUGGUCCGGUACUGACGCUGAGGUGCGAAAGCGUGGGGAGCAAACAGG
rnacentral:rRNA from 1 species